GAUGAACGCUGGCGGCGUGCCUAAUACAUGCAAGUCGAGCGAACGGAACAGAAGCUAGCUUUCCUGAUGUUAGCGGCGGAUGGGUGUGUAACACGUGGAUAACCUACCUAUAAGACUGGGAUAACUUCGGGAAAUCGGAGCUAAUACCGGCUGAUAUUUUCGACCGCAUGGUUUAAAAGUGAUGGACGGUUUUGCAGUUAAUUAUUGAUGGAUCCGCGCUGCAUUAGCUAGUUGGUAAGGUAACGGCUUUCCAAGGCAACCAUGCAUAGCCGACCUGAGAGGGUGGUCCGCUACACGGGCACUGAGAAACGGUCCAGACACCUACGGGAAGCAACAGUAGGGAAUCUUCCGCAAGGGGCGAAAGCCUGACGGAGCAACGCCGAGUGAGUGAUGAAGGUCUGCGGAUCGGAAAACGCUGUUAUAAGGGAAGAACAAAUGUGUAAGUAACUGUGCACAUCUUGACGGUACCUAAUCAGAAAGCCACGGCUAACUACGUG
rnacentral:rRNA from 1 species